GAGACUCUGUGCGCGUGCAUAUCAAUAAGCGGAGGAAAAGAAACUAACAAGGAUUCCCCUAGUAACGGCGAGUGAAGCGGGAAGAGCUCAAAUUUGAAAUCUUAAAGGGUUUCCCUUUACGAAUUGUAGUUUAAAGAAGUGUUUUCUGUUGGAGUUUCGGUAAAAGUUCUUUGGAAUAGGACAUCAUAGAGGGUGAGAAUCCCGUAUUUGACCGUUACUUUCCAGCUGUGUGAUACACUUUCAAAGAGUCGGAUUGUUUGGGAAUGCAUGUCCAAAAUGGGUGGUAAAUUUCAUCUAAAGCUAAAUAUUGGCGAGAGACCGAUAGCGAACAAGUACCGUGAGGGAAAGAUGAAAAGAACUUUGAAAAGAGAGUUAAACAGUACGUGAAAUUGUCAAAAGGGAAGCGUUUGACACCAGUGUUGUUUAGUUGAAAAUCAAUUCGAUAAUUUUUGAUUCUAAGUAGUAUUGACUUCAUCAGCUUGCUGCUUUCUUCUCAGGAAAUUAUUGAAUGCACUUUUCAGUUAACAAGUCAACAUCAAUUUCUUUUGUUGUAAAAGGGUAAGAGGAAGGUGGCUUGCGCUUCGGCUCAAGUGUUUAUAGCCUUUUAUCUCUGCAAUCGGAGAGAUUGAGGUCUGCAGCGUAGAUCCUUCGGGGUUAGAUACAUUGGUGCUAAGCUAUAGCCUUGUAUAGACAACUUGUUGACUAUGCUCAGUCAUGUAGCUUACUCGCUGACGCUAUUUUACCUACGCUUAGGAUGUUGACAGCAGUAUAGACUGU
rnacentral:rRNA from 1 species